CUUUAUUACAAUACCUUAUUAACAUACUUCUUUAAUCAUUUCAAUCUUGUACAAGUUAAUGUAAAUUUCUGAAAGCAAAAGGUGGUAUCGCAUGCAUUCUGCCAGAAGGUGGAGCUCCAGGAACCAUCCUAGUUCAGUCUCAGUUCAGUUGUUUAAAAACAGAGCAGACAUACAUUGAGUCAGUCAUACUCAGAGAGAGAACUGUAAGUCUUGACUCUCAAAGUCAUUGUCUCUCAUUAGUGCAGAUGUUGCCCCUCGUAUUCAUUAUAUUUUCUCUCCUAAAAGAGACUGCUGGUGAAGAUGUCAUAAAACCAGUCUCCACACAGAAGCAGGUUUUGGAAGGAAAAGAUGUUACACUGAUCUGCAACUACACCGAAGCUGUUCAAAAUUUACAAUGGUAUCGUCAGUAUCCCGGAUCCAAACCUGAGCACCUCAUCACGUUCUUUGAGACCACACAGAGCACGACAGAGGACGCUCUCCGUCUGACCGCUGCGGCUGAUAAAGCAGCUAAAAGUAUGACUCUGACGAUCUCUUCUACAGAAGUGAAAGACUCUGCCAUGUACUACUGUGCCCUGGUGCCCACAGUGACAGGAAACACAACUACACUGUACAAAAACAGAGUGAGAAAGGAUAUUUAAGACAGAAGACGAUGCACAAUGCAGAUUUUAAAACUACACUCUUUAUAAAGUGGACAAUCAAUUGUUACCUUUCGGAAUAGUUUCUAAACCCAUGUACAGUACAACUGGUAGUGUCCUCACCAUUAAUAUUAUCAGACCACUUCUUAAUACAGAUAUGAAAAGCAACAUAAAUGUUUGAAACAUUUAAUAUCUGUACAGUGCCAUUGCAAUGUUUGUAUAAUAUCAGCUUAUUUAUAUAUUGUCUGCACUUGUAGGGUAAAAUAAGCAUAGGUAUGUAUGGGAGGAGCUUAGGAUUUUGUCAACUUCAGUGGAAGAAAUCAAAAAGACAACACUGACUUUCUUUCAUACAGAUCCUGAUAGAAGUCUCAACUCAAAAGAAACAGAAGCAUGUUACUCAUCUCAUCCGUUUUCAUUUUAAUCCUCAGUUACUGUGAAUCUAAUGGAAAUGUCAUCAGACCAAACCAGCCGUCUGUAGUUUUAACUGAAGGAAGCAGCACCACUCUGUCCUGUUCAUAUGAUCGAUCAGCUUACAGUCUUCACUGGUAUCGACAGAAGCCUGGAUCAAAACCAGAGUUUCUGCAGCUGAUUGUUGAGUCUUCCAAGUAUGUCAACAAAGCUGACCAACCUCAUCCACAUAUGUCCAUCAGACUCCAUGAUAAUAAAAGUGUGGAUCUGGAGAUCUCCUCUGCUGGUGUAUCAGACUCUGCAGUGUAUUACUGUGCUCUGGAGCCCACAGUGACAGGAAACCCCUCUACACUGUACAAAAACCUUCUUGUUAUCUGCCUGAUGAACAAUCAUAUUUCUCUACCAUGAUCUCUGUGAUAUUCCAUUUUGCUGAUGAUCUGAAUAUGGCAUUUAA
ensembl:lncRNA